GAAACCAACUGGGAUUACCUUAGUAACGGCGAGUGAAGCGGUAAAAGCUCAAAUUUGAAAUCUGGUACUUUCAGUGCCCGAGUUGUAAUUUGUAGAAUUUGUCUUUGAUUAGGUCCUUGUCUAUGUUCCUUGGAACAGGACGUCAUAGAGGGUGAGAAUCCCGUUUGGCGAGGAUACCUUUUCUCUGUAAGACUUUUUCGAAGAGUCGAGUUGUUUGGGAAUGCAGCUCAAAGUGGGUGGUAAAUUCCAUCUAAAGCUAAAUAUUGGCGAGAGACCGAUAGCGAACAAGUACAGUGAUGGAAAGAUGAAAAGAACUUUGAAAAGAGAGUGAAAAAGUACGUGAAAUUGUUGAAAGGGAAGGGCAUUUGAUCAGACAUGGUGUUUUUGCAUGCACUCGCCUCUCGUGGGCUUGGGCCUCUCAAAAAUUUCACUGGGCCAACAUCAAUUUUGGCGGCAGGAAAAAUCUUUUGGAAUGUAGCUACCUCGGUAGUGUUAUAGCUUUUGGAAUACUGCCAGCUGGGAUU
rnacentral:rRNA from 1 species